UACGGAGGAUCCGAGCGUUAUCCGGAAUGAUUGAGCGUAAAGGGCGAGUAGGCGGCUCUGUAAGUCUGGAGUGAAAGUCCUCUUUUCAAGGGAGGAAUUGCUUUGGAAACUAUAGAGCUUGAGUGCAGGAGAGGUUAUCGGAAUUCCCGGUGUAGCGGUGAAAUGCGUAGAUAUCGGGAGGAACAUCGGUGGCGAAGGCGGGUAACUGGACUGCAACUGACGCUGAGGCGCGAAAGUGUGGGGAGCAAACAGGAUUAGAUACCCUGGUA
rnacentral:rRNA from 1 species